rnacentral:rRNA from 1 species
AGCAGCCGCGGUAAUUCCAGCUCCAAUAGCGUAUAUUAAAGUUGUUGCAGUUAAAAAGCUCGUAGUUGAAUUUCGGGAUUGACACAUCGGUCGUGCCUUAAGGGGUAUGAACUGGUGUAGUCAAUUUCUCACCUUCUGGAGAACCGCGAUGCCCUUAAUUGGGUGUCACGGGGAACCAGGACCUUUACUUUGAAAAAAUUAGAGUGUUUAAAGCAGGCAUUUUGCUUGAAUACAUUAGCAUGGAAUAAUAAAAUAGGACGGCAUGAUUCUAUUUUGUUGGUUUCUAGGAUCACCGUAA